UUUUUUUUUUUUUUUUUUUGGUUUUUUUUUUUUUUUAGGGCCGCCCCUGACGCACAUGGAAGUUCCCAGGCUAGGGGUCCAAUCAGAGCUGUAGCCACUGGCCUACACCACAGCCACAGCAAUGCCAGAUCCAAGCCGCAUCUGCGACCCACACCACAGCUCACGGCAACGCCGGAUCCUUAACCCACUGAGCAAGGCCAGGGAUCGAACCCACAACCUCAUGAUUGUUAGUGGGGUUUGUUAAUCACUGAGCCACGACCGAACUCCAGAUUUACUACAUUAAAAUACAUACCUUGAUAGAUUUAAAAUGUGUGCAUUUGAGUCCACAGCAAGGUUGGCCUAAACUUCUUUUCUCAAUUUGUCCUUGAAUGGUUUUGGUGUCAAAGUUAUAUUAGUAUAAUAAAUUAGAGACUAUUCCUUCAUGUUUUUAUUCUCUGAAACAUUUUAUAUAAAACUAGUAUCUGCUCCUUGAGUGAUUUACAAAUAUUGCCUAUAAAGCUAUCUGAUCCUGAUAUUACUUUAUGCACAAAUUUGUAUUUCAAUUUAUUUAGCAGCUAUAUAACUCUUUAUGUUUCCCAGUUGAUUCGCUGAAUUUGGUAAGUUAUAUUUUUCUCUGAUAACAUACAUUUUUUUCAGUUUUAAAGUAUAUUUACAUAGCUUUACAUUUCUGACUAAGAUGGAGUAAAAGGGACUAUAUAUAUUUACCUCCCAACUGAAACAACUGUUAAUUGUUGGGAAACUAUGUGAAACAGAGUUUUGAACAUAUUUGGACAUCAGGCAACAAAGAACAGUGACCCCUGAGAGAUGAAAGACGAGAUGAGCACUGUAAUUGACUAGUUUAUGCCCUUGGGAGAAUUUCCAGGCUGCAGCACAGAGUGGGGAACCCCACAUACAUCAUGGGAGCUCCCAGAGUUUCGAAGAUAGAGUUGAGUUCAAAGUGGCUAGUGUUCAUGGGCAGAGUACCAGAGAGGAGGGAGCAGUCGCAGAGGACCCCUGGUAGAGUGAAAACCUGCAUAAAUAUAUGAGAAAACUACACCAAGCUGAGGGCAGAAUGGCGUGCAGGGAUCCGAGGGAACAGUACACAGAGCUCACAUGAGACUCAAAAUAGUGCUUGUUCCUAAUAGCCAGUCAGGAAGACCUCAUAAUUCAUGGGGCUUUAAGCAGAGUACUCAGAAGAGUCUUACAUCCACGGUGGAAAAUAACUAGCCUCAGGUUAAACACUGCUCUGGUUCUACCUAAUAAAUCUUAAAAGCAGGAACUAAAGACUCAAACUGUGUCCAUGUAACUUAACUAUAUAUCGGAAUAAAGCUCAAGAAUUUUUAUAGGAAUACAAAUAUAUUCAGCAUGAAAUGAGAAAAAAAUUCACAAUAUUUGCUUUCCAGUCAAAAUGUACUAAGAAAGCAAAGAAACAGAAAAAUAUGACCCAUGUUGAGGAGGAAAAUCCAUCAGUUAAACCAAUAGAAAAUUGAUAAAGAUGUUAAAAUUAGCAGAUAAGGACAGAAGAACAGUUACUAUAAUGGUUUUUCAUAUGUUCAAAAAGUUAGAGAAAAGAAUGCAUAUAUUAAGCAGAGAUGCAGAAGACAAAAAAAAAAAAAGAUCUAAAUCAAUGCUGCCAUAAACUGGCAUUUUGCAAAGAGCAAUGCAAGUGAUAAACAUCAAAUCCAAUGAUUUUCAUGUAGGGGUGAUUUUGCCCUCUGAGAGACCCUUGACCAUGUCUGGAGAUGUUUCAGAACAUCACAACUCAGAGUGUUGCUGGUAUCUAGCAGUAGAGGCCAGGAAUGCUGCUAACUAUCUUACAGGAAAGCUUCCACAACAAAGAAUUUUCCAGUUCAAAAUGUCAAUAAUGCUGUCAAGACCGAUCAGAGGAUAAGAAGAGGCCAAGAGUCAAGACACAAAUUAUCAAUAUCAGAUAUGAGAGAAAUGACAUCAUUAUAGAUUUUAUAUAUAUCACAAGUACAAUAAAUCAAUAGUAGAAUUAACUGUAUGCAAAUAUGUUUGAAAAUUUAAGCAGAGUUGAGGAAUUUAUUGACAAACAUAAAUUACCAAAGCUCACUCAAAAAGAAAUAGAUUACCCAAAUCACCAUAUAUCUAUUAGAGAAAUCGAAUUUGUCCAUUAAAAGGCAUUUCCAUGAAGAAAACUUCAAGCCCAGAUGGCUUUACUGGUCAAUUCUACCAAACACUUAAAGAAUAAAUAAAAUAAAGGAAGGUGCUUGGACUUCUCAUAUUUCGUAAGAAAUGAUCUUAGAGCUAACCAGCUGCCAACCUGUGUUAUCCUGUAGGAAAGAACAGUCUCUAAGGCAAUGCUAUCUCUUCCUCAUGAGAGAGCAAGAUCACCUCCUCUAUUUCAGCAGGCUAGGCUGCCCCAGUCUAUGGCCUUGUUCAUGGACUGUUGCCCAAGGCCACUAGGGCAUCAUCGCCACCCCAGUGGGUUGGGAAGGUAGAGUUAUUACCCCAGUGGGCCUAGAAGGCAGAGCAUGAAGCCUAAGAGUAUGGCUCUUGAGCUAUAAAGUCUUAUGAAGUUUGCUCUGCUAGGUUUGGGACUUUCUUGAGACAUGUGGCCCCUUUUUCUUCGCUAACAUUUCCCUUUUGGAAUGGGAAUGUUUAUCCUAUGCCUGUCCCACCACUGCAUUUUGGAAGCAGACAACCUAUCUGGUUUCACAAGUUCAUAGGUGGAAUAUUGCUUCACUGUUGAAUCUUAUGUUGAAUCUCAUAAAUCAGUUGACCCCGAUUUCAGUGAUAUUUGGAUGAGAAUUGUGACUUAGAGUUGAUGCCAGAAUGAGUUAGGACUUUGGGCUAUUGGUAUGGGAGUGAAUGUAUUUCAUGUGUGAGAAAGAUCUAAAUUUGAGGGGCCAGAGGGCAGAAUGUUAGAGACUGAGCUGUAUCCCUCUCAAAAUUCAUAUGUUGAAACUCUAACUCCUAGUACCUAAGGAGUUGACUAUAUUAGGAGAGAGGGCCUUUAAAAAAAUGACUAAAUUAAAAUGAGGCCAAUAGAGUGGGUCUUAAUCCAAUCUUAAUGUUAUCCUUGUAAGAAGACGAACUUUGUACACAGAGAGACCCCCAAGGGGGUGAUGUAUAUACAGACCAAAGACUAUGUGAAGACACAGUAGGAAAGAGGCCAUCUGCAAGUCAAGGAGAGAGGUCUCAGAAGAAACCAACCUGCCAACACUUUUUACUACAAACAGGUUAUCCCUCCCCAAAAUUGAUCUAUGUGCUUAAUGAAAUUCCAAUUUGGGGGCAAGAUGAAAAGCUAAUUCUAAAAUAGAAUUUAAAUUUUAAAAAUUAAGAAAAUCCAAGAACUCUUGAAGAAUAGCAAUGUUGGAUAACUUUUACUGCUGGACUUACUAUAAAGCCACAUAAAAUAAGCCUGUGGUGUCAGUAAGAGAAAGACACAUAGACCAAUGGAACAGAAGCGAGAACCCAGAAACAGACAAACAUGUAUGGAUGCUGGGUUUAUGAAAGAGAUGGAACUUCAGAGCAGUGGGGAACAGAUGGUGCUUCUAAUUGAUCAGUUUGUCAAUGUCAUAACCAUAGACCUGGCUUUUACCAAGUCCAUCUCUUUACUUGCUAUAGAUCUAUUAAGAUUUUCUAUUUCCUCUUGGGUUCAUUUCAGUAGUUUGUGUCUUUCUGGGAAUUUUCCUUUCAUUUAGGCUAGUUAAUUUGUUGUUAUACUUUUGUUUAUAGAAUUCCUUUAUAUUUUGUUUUCUGGUAAACUCUAUAGUAAUGACCCUUCUUUUAUUUCUGAAAUUAGUCAAUUGCUUCUUUUCUCUUUUUUUCUUGUUUAGUAUAGCUAAAAAUUGUCAGCUUUGGCAUUCCCAUUGUGGUGCAGCGGAAAUGAAUCAGACUAGGAACCAUGAGGUUUUGGGUUUGAUCCCUGACCUCGCUCAGUGGGUUAAUGAUCCAUGACCUGUGGUGUAGUUCCCAGAUGCAGCUCGGAUCUGGCAUUACUGUGGCUGUGGCGUAGGCCGGCAGUUUUAGCUCUGAUUCAACCCCUAGCCUGGGAACCUCCGUAUGCUUCUGGGUAUGGCCUUAAAAAGCCAAAAAAAAAAAAAAGUGUCAAUUUUGUUUUCCUUUUAAAAAAAAGCUUUUGUUUAAUUGACUUUAUUGUUUUUCUAUUCUUUCUUUAUUUCCACUCUGAUUUAUAUUUUUUCCUUUCAUGUGCCUAUUUUGAAUUUAGUUUUCAAAAUUUAGCAAAUUUUAGCCAGGUUUUUCAGUUUUCUGUGCAUGAGUCUUUUACAUCCUGUAUUAAGUUUAUUCCAGUAUUUUUGCCCUUUUUGAUGCUAUAGUAAAUGGAAUUGUUUCUUUAAUUUCCUUUCUGGAUAAGUCGUUGUUAGUUUUUAGAAUUACAACCGACUUUGUGUAUUGAUUUUUUUAUCCUGCAACUUUAUAGAAAAUAUUUUAAUUGUAACAGUUUUCUACAUAUGUGACCAUGUAUCUGCAGAGGUGAUUUUGUUUACUUUCCAAUUUGAAUGACUUUUCUUUUUCUUGUCUAAUCUUACUAGAGAUUUCAGUACUAUGUUUAGUAGUGAUAGUAAGAAUGAGAAUUCUUGCUUUUUUCUUGAUAUUAAAGGAAAGCUUUUAGUAUUUCACUCUUGAGUAUCAUGUUAUCUCUAGGAUUUGUACUAUGCUGAGGUAGUUUCCUUCCAUUCCUAGUUUGUUGAGCAUUUUUUAUCAUAAAAGGGUGUUAAAUUUUGUCAAAUUCCAUUUCUGCAGCAAUUGGGGAGAUCAUGUGGUUUUUAUCUUUCAUUCUGUUAAUGUAUUAUAUUACACUGAUUGAUUUUCAUUUGUUGAUCCAUCCUUGAAUUUCAGGUAUAAAUCCUACUUGAUCAUGAUGCAUGAUCCUUGUAAUGCACUGUUGAAUUCAGUGUGCUAAUGUUUUGUUGAGAAUUUUUGCAUCUAUAUUUAUUACCAAUAUUAGCCUCUAGUUUUCUUUAGUGUCUUUGUCUGGCUUUGGUAUGAGAAUAGAACUGGCCUCAAAAAAAAAAUGAGUUUGGAAAUGUUCUCCACUCUUUAAUUCGCUGGAAGAGUUGAGGAAAAUUGACAUUAAU
rnacentral:lncRNA from 1 species